rnacentral:sRNA from 1 species
CUCAUUUAUAUUCAUAUACCUUGAUAUUUAGCUGGCAAAAAUGUGGAACUCCUCAAUACUGUGAAGAGACGAAAGCUGAGCUGUUUUUGGUCACAUUGUAAGACAUGAGUCACUAUCAAAAGUCAUUCUUCAAGGUACAGUGGAGGGAGCACGAAGAAAUGUUUGUCCAAAGAAAGGCUGGCUGGAGAACGUAAAAGAAUGAGCUUGACUCUCUCGUGACAUCCUAUUAAUAACAGCUGUUGACCGGGAAAAAUUGAGGAAUUCGAUCCAAUUUUCGACCCUUUACAAAGUUACAAUUUAAAGUUCGCAACAGAUGAAGAUAAUCCACUGCUGGAACAUAACAGAAAUGUUGAGCUCCUGGCUUCUGGUACUAAGAUCAAACAGUCUGGUCUGUACUUCGUCUACGUCAGCGUCCACUUCAAGCCGGACUCUCCAGAGCCUUGUAAGACAUUUGAUCAAAAGACAUUUAGUGUAAAUAUCACAAAACACCAAGAUGGAGCCAUCAUUCUUUCUGCCAAACACACGUGCUGUGACGAUUGCAUAAGAAACCA